rnacentral:rRNA from 1 species
GGCGGCAGGCCUAACACAUGCAAGUCGAGCGGUAGCACAAGAGAGCUUGCUCUCUGGGUGACGAGCGGCGGACGGGUGAGUAAUGUCUGGGAAACUGCCUGAUGGCGGGGGAUAACUAGUGGAAACGGUAGCUAAUACCGCAUAACGUCGCAAGACCAAAGUGGGGGACCUUCGGGCCUCACGCCAUCAGAUGUGCCCAGGUAGGAUUAGCUGGUAGGUGGGGUAACGGCUCACCUAGGCGACGAUCCCUAGCUGGUCUGAGAGGAUGACCAGCCACUCUUCAUCGAGUAGU